rnacentral:lncRNA from 1 species
UUUUACUUUUAGGAGGCAAGGAGCACAUGGCUUCAUUGAUAAAAGCUAUGAUGAGAAAAUUGCCUGUUUUUGGAGUCUAAACAUGAUGCAGCUGCUUGGAGAAUAAAAGCUAAGGACAGACAACACAGCAGUAUCACCUGAUGUUGCUGAUAGACCUCCAGCCAACUUCUACAAAGACACACUUCGGAUGCAAAUGACUGGGAACAAUAAGCUCGGUGAUGGACAGCUAAUGGGUGAACUGAUGAUGAUGAUCUGCACUGGCGUUGACCUGUCACCAAUGAUACUGCUACAGAAACAAAACAAAAAUGUUUCUUCCGUUCUCCGAAGUGACACACUUACAAGAGUACGGUGCAAAGAGAGCCUGCCCGGUGUUCUGUUGUGCACCCUUGUCGAGAUGUGCAUAUCCUCACUCAAAACAACGGCUUUGAGACGUGUGAGAGAGAAAUGCUCCCUUUUCUUUCACAAAAUGCACUCCUUUUGUCAUUAUAUGUUUUACUUUAUUUAAUGUUAAAACUUGAAGAGUUUCUAUAAUUUGUACAGUGCUCCAGCUGUAAAUGUAAGUCACAUGAAGCUUAUGAUUUCUUGUUGUUCAUGUUUACCUUAUAUUGCAUUUAGCCAAUGAAUCAAAAUAGCUUUAUGAUAUUACCAAUACAACAUCAUGUUAUGGGCUCUUUUUGCCGCAGACAUUUAGAUCUAGAGCAUGCGUUUCUCUUUCAUAAAUAUUCAAAAGUAUUCUAGUUUUAACUUAAGUAAAUAAGCAGGAA